rnacentral:lncRNA from 12 species
CAAGGAUGAAUUUCCUACCAGUAAUUGCAUAUCAAACACAAUCAAAUGAACCCCAAUUUGCUAAAGGAUCAUUCCUUAUUGUUUUGACAAUAGGAUUUGGAGACCUACUGCAGUUUCACUUUGCCAUUUUUUUCAAUAAAGUUUCAAUGAGUUUAACAGAUUAUCUAUUUAGGUCUGUAAUGAUGAUGAGAACAGGAAAUUCGGACAGGAAAAUGGGUCGCUUCUUAGGCUUCCUGCCAGACUUUGAAAACCACCAUAACAAGUUGUUUCUGCCAAAGUGGGUAUGAGUGAUACAGAAGAACGUAUAUGAGGCAGAGGUUGAUUCUUCCAGACUCUAGGAGGAAAAGCAUCGAAGAUAUUCCACAGAGAAACCUGAAAGCAUCGUAAAGGUAAGAAACGAACAGGUGACAAUAACUAGGAAGAAUUUGUCCUUCUUUAUGUGGAGAUUAUAAAAAAAAAAAGAAAAUAGAAGAUACAAAGGAGGAAAGCAUUGUUCCUUAUAGCAUGUUGCUGGUUGUCGCAGCUAGAUUACCAUUGACUGUUGCAAAGCUGAGCAAGCACAAAACCAUGAAUGAUAGAUGCUUUAUAUAGAAUGGAAGUUGGGAAUAGAAGAUGGCAGGCAGGAGGAGGCAAGCACAAACAGCAAGAUAAUUAUGCUGAAACCCAAUCAGGUGCCUCACAGGGCAUUAUACUAUUUCCUCUCACUUGUUAAAGGCACGUGGGCCUAUAGAUCUCAAAAUAGGUGAAUUGAAACAUGAGUAACAUUGAGAAUUUGGCUACAAGUGUCAUAAAGAUAAAUGGCUUGGAAAUUAUUUAAAGUUCAUCAAAUGUCCUGACUCUUCUAAGAACCUCAACAAACCAAAAGGUUCUUAAGUGAAGAACUUUUCAUGUACUGCCUAAACAAUAAAUAAUGUGAUCUCCUGUGCUCCUCUUAAUUU